rnacentral:piRNA from 1 species
UAUGAUAGAAAUUUGAGUGAAAAGC